rnacentral:rRNA from 1 species
UACGGAGGGUGCAAGCGUUAUCCGGAUUUACUGGGUUUAAAGGGCGCGUAGGCGGCUUGGCAAGUGGAUGGUGAAAUCCCUCGGCUUAACCGAGGAACUGCCGUCCAAACUGCUUCGCUUGAGACCGGGAGAGGUGAGUGGAAUUCCCAGUGUAGCGGUGAAAUGCGUAGAUAUCGGGAGGAACACCAGUGGCGAAGGCGAGUCUCUGGGAUGAUGCUGACGCUGAGGCGCGAAAGCCAGGGGAGCAAACGGG